GCUGUGGUAGAUCAGCGGUAGAUCAUGAGAUUGCAGAUCUUAGGGCCCCUGGUUCGAUUCCAGGUCACAGCU